ACAUACCAACAUGAGAUCCGAUUUCGAAAAUCUCAUCACAACGGAUUUAAUCAUAAAAACAGAUCUUAAUCCAGCUUUUGAAUAUUUUCUGGUUUAUCUGUAUGCAUGCAUUGUUGCAAAGGAAUGAGAUAGCAAGAACCACGGGUGAUGAACCAUUCAUGCCGCAGUUACACUAGGAAAAAGUUUUAUGCAUGCAUUGUUGCAAAGGAAUGAGAUAGCAAGAACCACGGGUGAUGAACCAUUCAUGCCGCAGUUACACUAGGAAAAAGUUUUAUGCAUGCAUUGUUGCAAAGGAAUGAGAUAGCAAGAACCACGGGUGAUGAACCAUGCAUGCCGCAGUUACACUAGGAAAAAGUGUUCGGUACUAUUAUUAGAUUCGUAACGUUCGUCAAAUAUAACACUCCAUUUGAUAAACCAAACUGUAAUUACACAACAACUGUGACCCUUAAACACCAUCCUGUGAUGUGGAAACGGACACUGCUUCUAGUCGACUUUCGUGAAUAAUUUUAUCUUCACGUAUCACAAUUUGUGAAAGUAGGGUGACAACGACCAAUCAAGCAGCCACUUUAACAUGUAUGAAGACCAGUCCCAACAAAUCAG
rnacentral:lncRNA from 1 species